rnacentral:rRNA from 1 species
UACAGAGGUCCCAAGCGUUGUUCGGAUUCACUGGGCGUAAAGGGUGCGUAGGUGGUGAGGUAAGUCGGAUGUGAAAUCUCCGGGCUCAACCCGGAAAUGGCAUUGGAAACUACCUUGCUGGAGGAUUUGAGGGGGGAUUGGAAUACUUGGUGUAGCAGUGAAAUGCGUAGAUAUCAAGUGGAACACCAGUGGCGAAGGCGAAUCCCUGGAAAAUACCUGACACUGAGGCACGAAAGCUAGGGGAGCAAACGGG